GGAGAGGUGCCCGGAGCGGCUCAUCGGGGACCACGAGCACGACUCGAGGUCGGGCCUUCACCGGCCCACGCAGGUUCGAAUCCUGCCCUCUCCG
rfam:Streptomyces bungoensis strain DSM 41781 genomic scaffold PRJNA299233_s018, whole genome shotgun sequence.